GCCAUAGUAGGUAGGUAUGGUGGCUGUUUUGAGGAUGGCAUAUGGUGGGUUUGUGCACCGGCGAGAAUUGCGCGGUACUAGAGAGGCUAGCAAUGGUGGAAGGUGAAAGAGCAUAUAGACCAUGGACUCGCAUUAGUCAUGAAGAACUCACAUACUUGUUGCGAAUUCACAACACCCUACUAACAUAACUCUUAAUAUUACCAAAUUCACGUCUCAAAACUAAUUGAGAUCAAUCAAAACUUCUCUUUCUCCUCAAUGCACAUGCUGAUGGAGGUUUUUGUAUCCUCUUUGGAUACCUAUCACCUUUGGGACUACUUUCAUAGCAUAAUCCAACUACCAAGUCACGCACCGCCGUGCUCUAAAAGAUCUAAGUGAAGCGCAUAGAGCAAAAUUAUCUAGCUCAAAAGAUAUAAGUGAAGCACGAUGAGCAUUCUAGCAAAAUCACGAUGAGUCCAUGUCUCUCUCUAAAGAUGUGCAGCAAGGAUGAUUGUGACACAACAAAAAUAAAAGACUCCUAGGAUACAAGACGCUCCAAGCUAAACACAUAUCGUCUGGUGAAUAAAAAUAUAGCUCCAAGUAAUGUGACCGAUGGAUUGAAGACGAAAGAGGGGAUGCCUUCCCGGGGCAUCCUUAAACUUAGGCUUUUUGGUGUCCUUGAAUUUGGCUUGGGAUGCCUUGGGCAUCCCCAAGCUUGAGCUC
rnacentral:lncRNA from 1 species